AAAUCGUCACGACCUUCUUCGUAUAAGAGUUCGAAAUCUUCUGCGCUUCGCCAGUUGCUGCUGUAUCGUCGCUUCGAGAUGGCCUCCGGAAAAACGUGCUUCAUGCUUCUCGUCGCCCUCUUCGUGGUACUCGCCACCGUGUCGGUCGUGGAGGCUCAUAAAAUCGACAUUGAUGACGCUUUGGAGUUCCUCGAGAACAUGGACCGUGAAUAUUCCGCAAAGGCUCGCCCCAGAUUCGGACGGAGUGUUGGAUCUCAGAGGUUGUGCGCUGGAUGCGGUGGGCCCGGAGAACGGAUGUAGUUCCCCUAGGUGACGAACGGGCCCCCGGCGAGAGUGAGGAGACUCGACAAGCGAUGGAAUUUCGGAAAACCAGCCAGAGAUCCAGAGAGGAUUCCCCAGCAGCAGUUAGCGUCCCACUCUUAGAUCCAACCCGAUCUGAUGAGGCACCGAUUAGGUCACCUGCUCGUAGCUUAGAGUACCGAAGCUUAUUUCACAGACGACCGUAGGCGAAGGCUCCCCGAGCGCCGAACCGGUUUCGUGUCUUAUGAUCUCUAAAUAAAUUUCGAAACGUUAUCGUU